CCUGCCCUUAAAGAUGUUGCAGGUAUGACUGCUGUACCCCAUGUGUCAGUAGGUGGCAAAAAAGAAAAGAGACAAUGUCUACAGUGUUCUGACCUAUGGACAUCUGAAUGAUUAAUACCCUAACAUU
ensembl:snoRNA LOC120101337 small nucleolar RNA SNORA17